GUUGGAGCGGUAAUGGCACACCAAGCCUACGAUCAGUAGCCGGACUGAGAGGUUGAACGGCCACAUUGGGACUGAGAUACGGCCCAGAUUCCUACGGGAGGCAGCAGUGGGGGAUAUUGCACAAUGGAGGAAACUCUGAUGCAGCGACGCCGCGUGAGGGAAGACGGUCUUCGGAUUGUAAACCUCUGUCUUAGGGGAAGAAGAAAAUGACGGUACCCUAAGAGGAAGCCACGGCUAACUACGUGCCAGCAGCCGCGGUAAGACGUAGGUGGCAAGCGUUGUCCGGAAUUACUGGGUGUAAAGGGAGCGUAGGCGGCUAUGCAAGUUAAAUGUGAAAGGCAACGGCUCAACCGUUGUAAGCGUUUAAAACUGCGUAGCUUGAGAUAGAUAGAGGCAGGCGGAAUUCCUAGUGUAGCGGUGAAAUGCGUAGAUAUUAGGAGGAACACCAGUGGCGAAGGCGGCCUGCUGGGUCUGGUCUGACGCUGAGGCUCGAAAGCGUGGGUAGCAAACAGGAUUAGAUACCCUGGUAGUCCACGCUGUAAACGAUGAUUACUAGGUGUGGAGAUGGAAACAUAGCCGUGCCGCAGUUAACACAAUAA
rnacentral:rRNA from 1 species